rnacentral:rRNA from 1 species
GACGAACCGUGCGAACGUUAUUCGGAUUCACUGGGCUUAAAGGGCGCGUAGGCGGACUCGCCAGUCCGGGGUGAAAUCUUUCGGCUUAACCGGAAAAGUGCCUUGGAUACUGCGAGUCUUGAGGAAGGUAGGGGCAUGUGGAACUUCCGGUGGAGCGGUGAAAUGCGUUGAUAUCGGAAGGAAGACCAGUGGCGAAGGCGGGUCUCUGGACAGUUCCUGACGCUGAGGCACGAAGGUCAGGGGAGCAAACGGA